GCGCAGCAGGCGAGAAAACUCCGCAAUGCCCGAAAGGGUGACGGGGGAUUCCAAGUGCCUACGCUUAGCGUAGGCUGUUCAGGUGCCUAAAAAGCACCUGGAGGAAGGGCUGGGUAAGACGGGUGCCAGCCGCCGCGGUAAUACCCGCAGCCCGAGUGGUAGUCGCUUUUAUUGGGCCUAAAGCGUCCGUAGCCGGUCUGGUAAAUGCCUGGGUAAAUCGUGGGGCUUAACCUCACGAAUUCCGGGUAGACUGCCAGACUUGGGACCGGUUGAGGGAGAGGGUACUCCAGGGGUAGGGGUGAAAUCAGCAAGGUAAGCUGAUGUAACUUGCCUUGCAAGUCACAAUCCUGUAAUCCUUGGAGGACCACCGGUGGCGAAAGCGCUCUCCUAGGACGGGUCCGACGGUGAGGGACGAAAGCCAGGGGAGCAAACCGGAUUAGAUACCCGGGUAGU
rnacentral:rRNA from 1 species